CCUUCGAUAGCUCAGCUGGAAGAGCGUGGGACUGUAAUUUGAUAACGGGUUGGAAUCCCAAGGCCGCUGGUUCGAUCCCGGCUCGAAGGA
rnacentral:tRNA from 1 species